rnacentral:tRNA from 1 species
GCCUGAGUGGCUCAGUCAGUUAAGCAUCUGACUUCAGUUCAGGUCGUGGUCUUAUGAUUCGUGGGUACAAACCCACGUCGGGCU